rnacentral:rRNA from 1 species
GACCCCGCACAAGUAGCGGAGCAUGUGGUUUAAUUCGAAGCAACGCGAAGAACCUUACCAGGUCUUGACAUCCUCUGACAGCGUUAGAGAUAGCGAAUUCCUUUCGGGGACAGAGAGACAGGUGGUGCAUGGUUGUCGUCAGCUCGUGUCGUGAGAUGUUGGGUUAAGUCCCGCAACGAGCGCAACCCUUGUGUUUAGUUGCCAGCAUGAAAGAUGGGCACUCUAGACAGACCGCCGUAGAUAAUACGGAGGAAGGUGGGGAUGACGUCAAAUCAUCAUGCCCCUUAUGACCUGGGCUACACACGUGCUACAAUGGGAUGAACAGAGGGUAGCGAAGUAGUGAUACGGAGCCAAUCUCAAAAAACAUCUCCCAGUUCGGAUUGCAGGCUGCAACUCGCCUGCAUGAAGUAGGAGUUACUAGUAAUCGCAAAUCAGAAUGUUGCGGUGAAUGCGUUCCCGGGGUUU